rnacentral:lncRNA from 1 species
UGUAAAAUCCCUGGCUCCAGUGGCAUCGGGUGGGGUGGGUGAGCACAUCACGUUUACUCGCAUUCCCAGAAACACUGCGUCAGCAUGAGGGAUGCCGGGAGGAGUGAGAAGUGGGAGGCUGGGCCAGGUUGGAGCGCAGGGCCUUCUUCUCACACACACCAACAGAGCUUUCCUCCUGAGCUGUGUUCCAGCCCAUCCAUCUCGUCUAUCCCAAAGCACGUGUGCACAUUCCACAUUCCACUUAGCACCCAGGAGAAGGACCACUGGGUUCUGGCCCGGAACGGAAACAAUACUGCUGUGUGUGGCCAAGGUGUGGGUGGAGGGAAGCUAUGCCAUUUGGUGGAGAAACAUCACAUUUUGAAGGGAGUUGUAUUAGCUGAAGAUGGUGAAUUUGUCUGGACGAUGGCAUCAGGAGGUGAUAAGGUCAAGAGGGCGAAGCCCUCGGGAUUGGAAUCCUGCUGGCUUCAAAGGGAGCUGCCUGCACCCCACCCCGCAGAAGGACCCAUGGAGAGCUCACCAUCCAUCUACUGCUGACUUUCCUCAUUGCCAUGGCAAAGGAUCAAACAGAAGCAACUUGAGGGAGGUGCUGCCUUUGUUGGCUCACGGUUUUCUGGGUUCAGUCUGAUCUGGUGGAGAAAGCAUGGCGGAUGUCUGGAGCUAGUGGAUAAACUUGUUCAGAUCUUUGUGGAUGGGGAAGCAGGGCUGAGUUCUAUCCCUCCAGGGGGACCCAGUACUGCUAGGUACUAGACCCAGAGUCCCAAAGUUUUCCCAACCUUCCAAAGCAAUACCUUCAAUAGAGGAGCAUGAGCCUGUGAGAGAUUAAGCAAAUCUUAACAGUGGGGAAGCAAAGGCUAAGUUUGUCAGAGCCUUGCCCUUGUACUUCCAGCCCCAGGUCUCUAGAGCAGUGACUCUAUAGUUCAUAAAGCUACCCAGCCUGUGAUAUUUUCAGAUCACAUCUCAGAUGGACUAAGGCAAUUUUUAACUAAACCCUAUUUGUUGUGGUAUUUCCAAACCCUCUUUGUAACCCUCCUGAUACCAGCACAUUUACAGGAACUAAAAACUGGACUCUAGAGCCUUGCUUUCUUUUUUCCCCCCUGCUUACAUGUUUUCUGAACAUCUGAAUUUGCAAUGUUGUAGAAACCAAAGGUUUUACACAAGAUUAGAGUCUUUUAGCCUCCCUACAAAACUCAGAAAUCUUGUGAAAUAGGGUCCUUGGUUUCUCCUGGGCAGAAGACUGAAGGAGAGAGACAGGAAGACAGAAGGGAAGGAAGGCAAGGAGAGAGACAAAGUCAGAGAGAGAGAGAGAGAGAGAGAGAAAGGGGGGAGGUAGAGAGAAUAAAAGAGGGGGCAAGACUAAAGGUAAGAGGGGGAGGUACAUAAGGAGGGGAGGAGAGAGACAGAGUCAGAGAGAGGGGGAGAGAAGGAGGAAGGGAGAGAGAAAGAGGGAGAGAGGUGAAAGGAAAGAGGAGGGAGGAAGGAAGGGAAGGGGAGAGAGAGGUAAAAGGGAGAGGAG